rnacentral:rRNA from 1 species
CCUACGGGGUGCAGCAGUGAGGAAUAUUGGUCAAGGGCCGUAAGGCUGAACCAGCCAAGUAGCGUGAGGGAAGACUGCCCUAUGGGUUGUAAACCUCUUUUAUGAGGGGAUAAAGGAGGCCACGUGUGGAUGUUUGCAGGUACCGCAUGAAUAAGGACCGGCUAAGUCCGUGCCAGCAGCCGAGGUAAUACGGAAGGUCAGGGCGUUAUCCGGAUUUAUUGGGUUUAACGGGAGCGUAGGCCGGUCUUUAAGCGUGCCGUGAAAUUUUGUGGCGCAACCCUGGGAGUGCGGCGCAAACUGGAGACCUUGAGUGCGCGGACGGCAGGCUGAAUUCGUGGUGUAGCGGU